GCAUAACGCGAAGAACCUUACCCACCUUUGACAUGUACGGAAUCCUUUAGAGAUAGAGGAGUGCUCGAAAGAGAGCCGUAACACAGGUGCUGCAUGGCUGUCGUCAGCUCGUGUCGUGAGAUGUUGGGUUAAGUCCCGCAACGAGCGCAACCCUUGCCAUUAGUUGCUACGAAAGGGCACUCUAAUGGGACUGCCGGUGACAAACCGGAGGAAGGUGGGGAUGACGUCAAGUCCUCAUGGCCCUUAUAGGUGGGGCUACACACGUCAUACAAUGGCUGGUACAGAGGGUUGCCAAGCCGCGAGGUGGAGCUAAUCCCAGAAAACCGAUCGUAGUCCGGAUCGCAGUCUGCAACUCGACUGCGUGAAGUCGGAAUCGCUAGUAAUCGCGAAUCAGAAUGUCGCGGUGAAUACGUUCCCGGGUCUUGUACACACCG
rnacentral:rRNA from 1 species